rnacentral:rRNA from 1 species
UACAGAGGUCUCGAGCGUUGUUCGGAUUCAUUGGGCGUAAAGGGUGUGUAGGUGGCGCCGUAAGUCGGGUGUGAAAUUUCGGAGCUUAACUCCGAAACUGCAUUCGAUACUGCGGUGCUUGAGGACUGGAGAGGAGACUGGAAUUCAUGGUGUAGCAGUGAAAUGCGUAGAGAUCAUGAGGAAGACCAGUGGCGAAGACGGGUCUCUGGACAGUUCCUGACACUGAGACACGAAGGCCAGGGGAGCAAACGGG